CCAGCCUAAUUGUGUCGGGCGGCGGCGAGUCCCCGUGUUUUCGUAUCAGCGGAAACAUAGCGACCGCGGCUGUGCCAGCUGUGCUGCUGGUGCUGCUGCGCGCAGUGCUGGGACGACGCGAGUCCCGCAACCAUAGCAAACGCCUUACGAUGAAUCGGAUACUCGUGAAGAGACAGCAAGGGCUUCGCGAGACGCUGUGUGCACACUUCUCGCUGCCGAAAGCCGUCUCGUUCAGGACGCAUUGAAGCGGACACAGCCUGCAGCGAAGAACAACGCGACGGACAUUGCUCUACUCCACGGGGCGUCUGCGCAAGCAGGCGUUUGGUGAAUGGCGUCACUACGGACCCGAGCCAACAGGGGGGUUUCGACCCCCUCCCACGCCUCGCCAUGCUUGGCUUUGCUGUGUCCGAGGAAAAGGGGAUCCUGGGUGUUGAGCCGACGCCGGGUGAUUGGACCUGUAAGGCCCCCCCGGCAGAGGCAACACACCCCUUUGGCCCCAGCUUCACGUAGACGGCACCCCUGGGCUGACCCACCCAGAGGAAAUCGGCUGUUGUCUUUUCCUAUCUCUCUCUGUCUCCACAUUUUCGUCUUUCUCUCUCACUUUUGAUCUUUCCUGUCCUCUUCUCUCUUGAAUUUACUUCCGUGUUUCAUGGCGGCAAGGGUUAACCUGGUGUGAAUAUCCAACCAUGAGUAGUUAGAUGAGGUUAUAGUAACAGCGUACGGCUGGCAUCGUGCAGGCUUGUUGACAAGUCCAGCCGUGUCCACUUGUUGGGCUCCAUGGUGGGCGGUUGGUGCUGUUGCCGAACACUUUCAUCUUUUUAUGGCUUCACAAGCAUCCACUAUUUUUGAUCAGUCUCGCAAAAGAGGCCACACUGAGGCAACUUUUCAUUUCAACACACAAUCCAAAGUAUCCUUCCAAAAGUACCAUGUCAUCCACAGCGAAGGCACACCAGUACGAAAGCUAUCUCCAUUUUUGGUGGCCAAGUGCCUGAAAGAAAGAAAUUGGACCCAAGUACAAAGUUUCGAAAAUGUCAAGCGGUCACCUGCUCCUAGAGCUAGCCGAAAAAGAACAAGUAUCAAAGCUCUCCGAACUCGCCUGCAUUGGUGACACUACCGUAACAAUUUCUGUCCACAGAUCCCUUAACACCAGCAGGGGAGGAAUAUCUGAAGAAGAUUUCUUAGGCCUAAGUGACAACGAGCUCCUCGAGGGGUUUCAGGAUCAAGACGUCAUAAAGGUACAGAGAAUUGUCAUCCGCCGCAACGAUCAGGAAGUCCCCACAAAACACGUUGUACUUUCCUUUGGAACGAGCGAAAUGCCCACCUCCCUCGAGGCAGGCUACGUGAAAAUAAACAUCAGGCCCUAUAUGCCUAAUCCUAGACGGUGUUUUAAAUGCCAAACGUUCGGUCACGCAUCCCACUCAUGCAGGGGAAAAGAAACAUGCGCAAAAUGCAGUGAAAACGACUACACAGCCGUAAACUGCGCAUCAUUGCCACUUUGUGUGAACUGUAAGGGGGAUCACCCAGCAUACUCACGCUCAUGCCCAUCCUGGAAAGAAGAAAAAGAAGUAAUUGCUCUCACCGUCGAAAAAAGAUCUCAUUUUAUGAAGUGCGGAAACGGUUGUCGUACCUUUUCCGCAAAAGUUACACUGAUGUGACGCAGUCGGGGGCAGCGUCACAGAGGCCUCAGACAUCCUCCGGGUCCACACAGAGUGGUCCACUUGUGACUCCUUCCGCCCCCGUCAUGGAAGCAGCGUCUGCUGCUCCAUCCACCUCAAAGGGCCCUCAGACUCCAGUCUCCCUGGGCCCUAAAAUCACUCGAAUGCCAAGGCCCGAGAUCCACGUCUCAGCGCCAAACUCUCGAUCUUCCAGCGCCUCUGACAGGGCGAUGGAGAUCAACUGAGAACCUUAGUGUCAUCGACACCGAAGGACAUGCGCUCCCUGGAGUGCGCCAACUGGACAAGGUUCCAAUAACCACGCAAAGCAAGCGAUAAUCAUAAUGAUUAUCACAUUUGUCUGUAGUUUAAGUUCUUAAUAAUGCUAAUAAUGUGUGUGUAUGUGGUUUGUACAUGUGUGUCAGGUAGCGCAGUUAUCCCUUUUGUCUUAAUAAUGUCACCUAUCAUCUUUUAAUUUAAUCGAACAAUCCCCACAGGUAUAUUUGCUUAAUUUUAUUCCAUCAUGGCUUUUAUCAUACAUUGGAACUGUAGAGGAUUAAUGCAUAAUUUAGGUGACUCAAAGGACAUCAUCAAUAAGUUCUCACCAGUGGCUUUGUGCCUCCAAGAGACAAACCUAGGUGCAAAACAUGCUCAAUUUCUCAAGGGCUAUACAGUUGCCCGAAAGGACCGCGAACGCUCUAGCCGUCUGUCAGGAGGAGUAGCUAUUGUGUUCCAGGGUGGCACUCCUACCUGAGAUGUCCAACUCAGUACAUCUUUUGAAGCCAUAGCAGUCACCAUUUUAUCGUACAAAACUAUUACCAUUUGUACAGUUUAUAUCCCACCCCACACCCAUUUUACCACUAAAAACCUAGGAAAUCUAGUAGAAUAGUUACCAAAGCCAUUUGUUUUAGUAGGGGAUUUUAAUGCUCAUUUUACUCUUUGGGGUAGUGACAAAGCUGAUUAAAAAGGACAGGUCGUUGAAGAUUUUGUCUUGUCAAACGAUAUCUGCCUUUAAAACACAGGCGCUUUGACCUACUUUUCAGCAACCUCACGCACUUUUAAUUGUUUAGAUCUUGCUUUGUGCUCACCAUGUCUUUUUAACGAUCUUAAACGGGAGGUCCUCGACACGUCAUAUGGUAGUGAUCACCAACCUGCCAUCAUCAAACUCAUGUCAUCCCAUCAAACUUUAUCUAGCAAGCCACGCUGGUGGAAAUUGAAGCUCGCGAACUGGCCGCUUUUUACAGAAAAUGCAAAGCUUGAAGAAGUUUUCUCAUCGGAACUUUCUGUUCAGGAAGUUAACAAAAAUUUUUUGAAAUUAUAAUCUCAGCGGCAGAAAAGGCGAUACCGCAGUCAUCCGGCAUUGCGCGCAUUAAACUGAAUCCUUGGUGGACAAGCGAGUGCACAGAGGCAAAAAACCAACAAAAUAAGUCCUGGGGAAUGCUAUGAAGAUACCCCACCUACACCAACAUCAUAAGCUUCAAACAGGCAAAAGCCAAAGCACGAUUUAUCCAUAGGCAGGCGGAAAAGGAUUCGUGGCAAAAAUAUAUAUCAUCAAAUGUGCUUUUAUAAAUAAACAAUAAAUAAAAUAAUCAAUUAAUAGUUCGGUCACACCAAAAUGUAUCUGGGACCAGGUGAGGAAGUUUAGAGGAGAAGACUCAUCGUACACAAUACCACUUCUUACAAGUCCAGACACAAACAACACUACAAGACCAGGCCAACCUAUUAGGCGAACACUUUUACGAGGUAUCAUCUUCAGGGAAUUACACAAACGCUUUCCUCAAAUACAAACAAUCGUCUGAAAGACACAGACUGCCGACACAGACUGGGGGCUUGGAACUGGUGCGGAUAUGACUGCACCGCUUACGCUUACACUGUUCUUUCUGCAGGUACUGCUCCGAUCAACCACAAGCAAACCAGUUUUCGAACUACAGCCUGAUGACUUAUCAGCUCAGUUUUUGCCGGACGGUGAACCUUUGUUCAACUGCUCAACAUGGGAAUCAAGCGACAUUCACCAAAACGACGGAAAUCAAUGAGUGUGCCUCGCAGCUGAAAUUGGCCGCUGCCGGUCAACCAACCGUGGACUGAUCGCACAGACGACUGCAGCCUACAAAUAGCACGGAUCUUCACUCGGCGCUUGGGGCAUGGAACCGGUGCAGAUAUGACUGCACCGCUUACGCUUACGCUGUUCUUUCUGCAGGCUGACCACCAAAACAGUGUGAAUCUGGGUCCUUAGGAGCUUGAAUGCCACCAGGUACCAAUGCUCUGCUCGUUGUGGACAAGUACUGCGACGAAGACAGCACCUGCCUUUGUGCAAUACUUCUGAAUGCUUCUUCAUUGUGACUAAUGCAAAACUGUUGUGCAAUUUAGCCUUUGUUUACUUCACUAAAAUAAAAAAUGGGCCCAACAAUUACAAGAGCAAGCCUGGAAGUGUUGAGACUUCAUAUUACUACUUUGACUAAAAAAUAAUAAAAAUAUAGUUUUUUAAUGCAGGAAGUUCUUGCUUUUGUUUAUUCCAAAACAAGCCAACUGCAUCUCUUAAAGGAGU